UUUUCGUUCACGUCACUGAUGUGCAAAACGUCUCUGCCCUUUCACUUUUCGUCGAUUCCUUUGUCUUCCUCUUUGUCCAUUCCCUUUCUCCAACUCUUCUGCAAUCAAACCUCUACUAACGUCAUUAAUAGCACCGUUUCGCCUUUAUUCCUCUGAAAUUAUAUAUAAUACUCUUCUUCAAAUUUUAAUCUCAAUCAAAACUCUUUGUGAUCUCCACGAUGAAUCCCAACGGCGAAUCCAAUGUCUCCGGAGGAAACAAGACGGCAAGGCCGUUAUCUCCUCUCCCAAUCUGAUCGAACCAAUCGUGAACACUGGUGUCUCAUCCGGUUGAUCGAUCAGCAAAACGUGUGUCUCCUCCGGCGUAUCCGGUGUCUUUUCCGGCGUAUCGAUCAAAGCUAAGGGCAAAGCCGCUGCCUCCUCUACCAUGCCGAACAAGCCAAACGUUCGCAGCGCUGUUUCUUCCGGCAAAGUUUAUGAAUCGAUGUUCUUCGAAGACGUCACUCUCGGACCACAUGAAGGAGAGAAAACAGAGAGAAGAAGAGCACUGUGAAGUAUUAUCAAUGGAGAAAGAGAUUUACAGAAUACAUAAUUCAAGAGAAGGGAUAUAAUGUGUUUUGAUGUUUAUGAACAACAUCUUUGAUUUCAGACAUGGUGGAUCUAUCCAUAAGCUUUUGAUGGAUAAGAAACGUGGAAGCAAAAGAAUCGUGUUGAGACUAUGGUGGAGAAGCAGCUUACCUGUGACUGCUACUUUGAGAUGGAAAACUAAAGAAGCGUAUGCGUAUCCAUCCAUCUGAUAUCACCAUGAACAUUGGGAAAGGUGUUCCUGUUCCAGAAUGUCCAAUCGAAACCUUGGUAAAAAAUGGAAAGACGUAAAGCAUGACAACACAACACCGUCACUUGGCUAGCUUUCUGGAAUGAUCCUAUCAACCCAAAAGAGUUCAACUAUGUAUUCUUGGCAGCUGGCAGUGCCUUGAAAGGUCAGAGUGACAAGGAGAAGUAUGAGAAAGCCAAAAAUCUUAUGAACAACAUAGACAAUAUAAGAGCAACUUUCACCAAAACUUUUACAUCUAAGAAUGUUACAAAGAAGCAAAUUGCUGUCACUACUUAUCUCAUUGAUAAACUGGCGGUUAGGGCUGGAAAUGAGAAGGAUCAUGAAGAGUGCGUUGCCUCCCAACGGAAUGAUCGGUAAAGAUGCUAAAGAUACAGUCCAGGAAUGCGUCUCCGAGUACAUCAGCUUCAUUACCAGGGAGCAUAGCCAUAGACAAGUGCCAGAAAGAGAAAUGGAAAACUGUGAAUGGUGAGGAUUUGUUGCGGGCAAUGUCAACAUUAGAUUUCGAGAAUUACUUGGAACCCCUUAAAGCUGUACCAUGCGAGGUACAUGGAGAUAAAGUUCAUGAAGCAUAACAUCGAUGCAGUCUCUUUGCAAUGGUGUGAUGCCUUCAAGCAAAAUCAAAAAGCCAGUCAGCAGAACAUUUAUUUUGAGAAAGCCAGAGGAGGUGAUGGAUUUUUAUCAGAGGAAGAGAUAAGGGCUAGAAGUAAUGAAACGCUUGAGAACGAAGAUAUACAGCAGUUGAUGAGGUUUUUUUCUUUCUCAUAUUGUGAUUGAGAGAAGAUGGUCAACAACCUACAAUUUUAAAUUAUUAUUUGUUUAAAAAUGCUCGAAAGUAAAUAAUGUGAAGUAGAGCUUGAAUGUAAACAAAGAGAGCGUGAGGGUUGAUUUUGUUGUGUGUUUGUAUUGGAAAAACAGGUGGUUGUUCUUAGCGUGUCUUCACUGUCCAUGUAGAGGCUGUGAAGCAAAGUGAAGAAACAUCUAUUUAUAAUGAAGGUGUGACGUCAUUCAAAAUUAAUUUUCCUUCAAAGGUGUGUGGCUGGAGACAUCAAUCCCUUACAAGUAGUGGGUUGUUUCUCAAAGGUCAAAAAUACUCAGCUCAGAGCGGUACCACCUCCAUCAUCAUUUUUAAGGGUUAUUCCGGAGAACUAAAAACACAAAUUUUGAGUAUUUGUAUUCACUUUAUCUGAUUUGUUAUGAAUCGAAUCAGUGGUAAAAGUUCAGAGUUUCUUACUCCAUUUUCAAAUGUUUAUGUGAAAGAUUCAAACCUUUCAUUUAGUUAAUAUCAUUUCUUUAACUUUAUGCUAUGUAAUUAAGGUGUUGGUCAUUUAGGCCACCCACGUUUGUCUCACUUUAGCUUUUGGCGAUUAGUCAAUCCUUUGAUGUUUUUCCUAUUAA